UAUCCAUGAGGAGGGCAUCUUAUCAAUAGUUCCUGAAAUCUCUCCCAACCCUCUGAGAACUUCUCAUCCUCCUCUUGAGUAAAAGAACUGAUCUCCUUUAUGUACU